AGAGUUUGAUCAUGGCUCAGGACGAACGCUGGCGGCGUGCUUAACACAUGCAAGUCGAACGGUAAGGCCCUUCGGGGUACACGAGUGGCGAACGGGUGAGUAACACGUGGGUAAUCUGCCCUGCACAUCGGGAUAAGCCUGGGAAACUGGGUCUAAUACCGAAUAGGACCACAGGACACAUGUCCUGUGGUGGAAAGCUUUUGCGGUGUGGGAUGGGCCCGCGGCCUAUCAGCUUGUUGGUGGGGUGAUGGCCUACCAAGGCGACGACGGGUAGCCGGCCUGAGAGGGUGUCCGGCCACACUGGGACUGAGAUACGGCCCAGACUCCUACGGGAGGCAGCAGUGGGGAAUAUUGCACAAUGGGCGCAAGCCUGAUGCAGCGACGCCGCGUGGGGGAUGACGGCCUUCGGGUUGUAAACCUCUUUCACCAUUGACGAAGGUCCGGGUUUUCUCGGAUUGACGGUAGGUGGAGAAGAAGCACCGGCCAACUACGUGCCAGCAGCCGCGGUAAUACGUAGGGUGCGAGCGUUGUCCGGAAUUACUGGGCGUAAAGAGCUCGUAGGUGGUUUGUCGCGUUGUUCGUGAAAUCUCACGGCUUAACUGUGAGCGUGCGGGCGAUACGGGCAGACUAGAGUACUGCAGGGGAGACUGGAAUUCCUGGUGUAGCGGUGGAAUGCGCAGAUAUCAGGAGGAACACCGGUGGCGAAGGCGGGUCUCUGGGCAGUAACUGACGCUGAGGAGCGAAAGCGUGGGGAGCGAACAGGAUUAGAUACCCUGGUAGUCC
rnacentral:rRNA from 1 species